rnacentral:rRNA from 1 species
UACGUAGGUGGCAAGCGUUGUCCGGAAUUAUUGGGCGUAAAGCGCGCGCAGGUGGUUUCUUAAGUCUGAUGUGAAAGCCCACGGCUCAACCGUGGAGGGUCAUUGGAAACUGGGGAACUUGAGUGCAGAAGAGGAAAGUGGAAUUCCAAGUGUAGCGGUGAAAUGCGUAGAGAUUUGGAGGAACACCAGUGGCGAAGGCGACUUUCUGGUCUGUAACUGACACUGAGGCGCGAAAGCGUGGGGAGCAAACAGGAUUAGAUACCCCGUAGUCC